rfam:Olsenella umbonata strain DSM 22620 genome assembly, chromosome: I
GGGGUAUUAGCUCAGCUGGUUAGAGCGCCGGCCUGUCACGUCGGAGGUCGCGGGUUCGAGUCCCGCAUAUCCCG